CCCUGCAGCCAGAUCACCUCGGGCUGUGAUCCCGUCAGAUCUUGCAAACUGAGCAAGGCUGGGCCUAUUUAGGACUGGGUUGAAAGGCCCUGAAAGAGAUCUGGAUGUUGUGGGAA
rnacentral:rRNA from 1 species